AGCGGCUGGUGUGAGAGGGGUUGGAGGGAGCAGGCAGGAGGGCGGCGGCGGUGAGUUCACGCACAGUCUUCGCAGUGGAGUCAACCCCGGCCUGAAAACAGGAGUUCAGAGGGUGGCAGAGAUUACAGAGAAUGUGCAGUGUUCACUUGGUCCAGGGCUGCAGUCACACUCCUGUCUUCCCAGAGUGCAGGUGACAACAACUUCAGGGAACUUUCUUCAGUUUUUUUGAAGUGGCACUCCCUCAUGCUCUGUGCAGUUGCCUGAUAGUCAGUCUCCACUCUAUAAUUGGGAACAUGAGUGUCCAGAAGUACAAGACCCUCACCAUUGAGGAAAAGUACAAGGUCAUCAAAUGUGUGGAGGAGCAUCCUGAAAAUCUGAAGAAACCGAAGUUUAACAUCCCACCUGCAACUUCUCGACCCACCCAAAAAACAAACACCGAAUCAGCACUGACCAUCAGCAGAACUUAUCCACUGGAAGGAAGCGGAUGCACUCUUCAGCCUGCCGCAAUGUUGAAAUGGCUUUGCUGGGUUGGUUGAAGCAGGUCAGAACCGCUAACCUUCCAGGACUCUCUGACCUUGCUUUACAGGAGAAAGCAAAUUAAUUUGCUGAGGAGUUUGGCAGUGACCCUGUUUCAGCAUCAUGGGUAACUUGCUUCAAAAAUUGUCAUGCAUCUAAAUCUAGAUUGGAGGAGAUGAUGAGUUCUUUUCCAUGCAUUGGUAAGGUAGCCAGCAGGAUCAGUUCAUUGGAAGCCAUAAAGUUGACUCAUUCUGGACAAGGUGCUGAAGUUGCUGCGACUGAGAGUGAGGAAAAAAUCAAAGAUGCUGGGUUCAGUGACCAGACAGUCAAAGAGGCACCAAUUCCCACCACAGCGAUGGCAAUCAAUUUUGUACAGUUACUGAGGAAGUGGCUGACAACUAAGAUAGCUGUCUCAGCAGAGCUGGUAUCCGUACUGAAUAAAAUUGAGUAUUUUGUGAAUAAGUGUACAAAGGACAAAAAGCAAAGACCAAACAAAGGGAAGUUUGCAAAAUGACUAACUAUGCAUUGCAUUGCAUUGCAUUGCAUAGCAUGUGUAGUAGCGGAGUUUUAUUUCCCACUGACGAUGUUUGGCAACGGAUUUUUUAAAUAUUCUGUUUUGCUGUAUUGUACCAUUAAAGUUUCUUC